rnacentral:tRNA from 1 species
GAGGGUAUAGCUCAGGUGGUAGAGCACAUGCUUAGAAUGCAAGGGACUCUGGGUUCAAUCCCCAGGACCCCUG